rnacentral:tRNA from 1 species
GGUCCCGUGGCUCAGCGGCAAGAGCAGCUGCCUUACAAGCAGACAAUCGGUGGUUCGAGUCCACCCGGGACUA